UGGUAGAAGAAUACGAUUCGUAAAUAAAUUUACAAUUUAUUGCCUAUCACUCAGCCAUUCUACC
rnacentral:tRNA from 1 species